GCCGGGUGCGGUGGCAUGUGCCUGUAAUCCAAGUCACUGGGAGGCUGAGGUUGGUGGAUCAAGUGAGCUGAGGAGCUCUGGGCUGCAGCACGCUAUGUCGAACGGGUGUCCAUGCCAAGUUCGGUAUCGAUAUGGUGUUCCUGGGGGAGCCCGGGACCACCAGGUUGUCUAAGGAGGGGUGAACCGGCCCAGGUCGGAAACGAAGCAGGUCAAAUCCCCCGUGCUGUCCAGUAGUGGGAUAAUACCUGUGAGUAGGUGCAGCCUUGGCAAAACAUCGAGACCUAAUCUUUC
ensembl:misc_RNA Metazoa_SRP Metazoan signal recognition particle RNA